ensembl:lncRNA
GGACAACAGUAAUGAUAAUCUAAUGCAAUUGGACUAAAGAAGAAGUGUUCAACAGAUGGGUAGAAGCCAUCCCAUCAAAAGACCAAAGUGGGACUACAGUAAUCAAGUUUCUGACUGGAGAAGUCAAGACAAGGUUUGGAAUUCCGUCAGAAAUAAGCUCAGACAAAACGUUUGUUCAGAGAACACUCAAACAAGUGAUUCAACAUUUGCAUGUCAAAUAAAGACUAGAUUACGCCCCAAUCCUCAACCACAAGGUAUGGUGGAAAGAGGAAUGGGACGCUUCAGACAAAGAUUAACAGAAUUAAAUUAGAGUACUAAAUUAAAGGACUAAUGCACUACGACUGACACUAUUGAAUUAUCGCAACAGAACGACACAUCUAACCCCGCAUGAAAUGCUUAAGGGUCGACCCAUGCCUUCACUUAACAUUCGAGGGUGCCAAAAGGGACUUCCAUUAGAGUAAUUAGAAAUAGGAUUAAGGAAAAUAUGUUUGAACAUCUAACUGUUGUACAUAAGUUUGUAAUUCCAGCAAGAGAAACACAAAGUUCCAGGGCCAGAGGAGGAGCCAGAUGCAGACACGCCCGGAGCCGACCAACUACCCAGGGAUGAUGCAAUCAGAUUUCGGCAGGGAUUGAUGGAGAGCCCAGUGAGCGAUGGGCACUACAGGUGCAGCGGGUGCCGUCCAGGCUUACCUGGGGAUCGAGUAUACACCGGGGAGUUUGGACGAGGGACCACCAGAGGGGCCCGACCUGAUCUGGCUGGAGAACAUGGAACAGACCCCUGCCCCACUGUCCAAGGGCCCCCCACGCAAUGCAGCGCACCAAUACAUGAAGAUCAUCCGGCCCCGGCGUCCUGUUUCCACCACCGUAUGCUGAAACCCCACCACCACACCCCC